GGCAGGCAGGGGACCCGACGGUGUGACGUGGCCAGGAGUUUAUCUAGAGACUAAGAACCAAACCAGCGAUUUGGAACUUUUAAAGAGUUGUUAUGAAUGAGGUUGGACUGGCGAGGGUGACUUCAAGAGACGUCUUCACAGAAGAAGUUAUGCGCACACAGCCAGCUGUUGGAAAUAUACAUUGAGCAAUAAGGUUGUCACUGUCCCGCCCCGAGACGAUGUUUCUUUUUGCGCUCUGCCUGAGCCUCGGGACGUUGGUGUCGUCCGGUGUCAGUUUGGAGUUCCGUUAUCACGACACCGUGGAGGUGGAGAGAUACCUGCGAGACGUUAACACCACCUUUCAGUUCACACACCUGCACAGUAUUGGCAAAUCUGUCGAAGGGAGAGACCUCUGGGUGCUCAUUCUGGGAAAGAAUCCGGCUGAGCACCAGAUGGGAAUUCCGGAAUUCAAAUAUGUUGGGAAUAUGCAUGGAAA